ensembl:lncRNA
UCUGACUCAGCGCUGGAAGCGGAGAGGAUGGCCCAAAAAGACCGCGCAGGGCUCCCCCUCCUGUCCACAGGGUCACUAGGAGUCGGAAUCCACUCAACAGCAUGCACAACAACGUAGAACUGCGGAAAGAUGAAAUAAUCUACUUCAGGUCAUGGACUUGAACUAAACGGAACCACAAGCUAAAAGUAUAGUAAAUACCAGUGAAUCGUGAAUUGAAUAUGAACACCCGUGUUGGGCUGACCUGUGAACCAAACACCGUGUGCAAGUUUGAAAGCACGGCCUGGCUCGGGAGACAGUGCUGCCAGGAGGGCAGGAGUGCUGUCUUGGCCAUCAGGCUUUCCAGGGGGAAUCCAAGAUAGGAGUUUGGUCCAGAUAGAUCACGCAGCAAAGAAGAUAGAAAACAAUGUUACAUUUCAAGAAGAGGAAGUUCAUGAGUCAAGGGAGGAAACAAACAUUUGAGUGUGGAGCAUAAACUGCCUGUGCCCUGGAAGGUUCGGCUGUGUGAUGUGGACUUCACGGACAGGAGCAAAGCUAAGGAAGGGCUCGACGGGACGCUGCUGCGAUUCUAGGAAAGGAUGUGGUCGUGGUGAUCACGGCGGGAAGCCGUGGACUGAGUACACUGUGUCUUUUCAGAUAGGACUUUUUCUGUGAGGGCAUCGGAGGGUUGGUGGUGGUGGUAUCUGGUUUGAAGAAAAAUGCUUUUCUUGUGGUCCAAUGGGGUCAAAGUUUAAAUGUGGAGCCUGGGUGACGCUUGUUUGUCUGUCUUCCCAGCAAAGCAGUGGAGUGGCGUGGAGUGGGUAGGCUCUUGGUUAGUUCACAUUUGAUGAGUUAAUACGCCUCUCUACAUAUCAGUUCCCUCUUCUGUAAAAUUGAGAUGAUAAGAGUAUUGUCCUCAAAAGUUUGUACUGGCGACUAAAUAACAUUUAUGUAGCAAUUAGAGAGGUAGUACAGAACACAAAGACUCCUUGGGUUGAAUCUUGGCUCCCCACUUGCUCAACGGAGCCUUGGGCAAAUUACCUCUCUAUGCUCCUGUUUAACAGAAAUAAUGGUACCUACCUCAUAGAUUUAUUGUGAGGAUUAAAUGAGUUAACUUAUGUAAAUCACUUAGAACAGUGUUUGAUAUAUAAUAAUCACUCAAUAAACAUUGGCUAAUAAUAUAAGGCACCACGUAUAGUAAAUAUUCAAUGUAAGAGUCUGCGCUUGUUCAGCUCUAAAGGCAAGGACCAUAUCUGUUUUAUUUACCUCCACCUUUUGUCACUUAGUAGGUGCUCACGUUUUUCUUGAAUGAGUGGGUCAUUUCCAGUCAAUACAAUUGCAUUCAAUUCCUCAAAAAUUAUCCUAGUGAGAGUAUCUGCAUUUGUAUGAUCAGAUUGAUUUAGUUUCAUUUAUAUUAUACCUAUCAUACAUAGAUACUUCACAGUACUCUCUACCACUUUCAAAGAUUUCUUUUUCAUUUUAAUCUUGUGGAGCUUAAAAACAGGAAGAACCCUCGAAUAACUUAGGUGUUAUUGCUUCUCCUCUUAAUUCUUUCAAAUUGUGUUCAAUGUGAAGAGGAAAAUAGAAUGGUGAAAUGUGAAACUUUGCAAUUUCAAGUUACUCUUUUAUUGCUUAGUUGUGAUUUAAACAUUGAUGUCUGGAAAUUUUUAACAUGAAAUCACAAAUGUACUAUUGCUUCUUAGAAUUCUAACAGUACGACUUAGCU